rnacentral:rRNA from 1 species
GUGCCAGCAGCCGCGGUAAUACGUAGGGGGCAAGCGUUGUCCGGAUUUAUUGGGCGUAAAGGGCUCGCAGGCGGCUCGAUCAAGUCGUGCGUGAAAUCUCUCGGCUCAACUGGGAGCGGUCGUGCGAUACUGAUCAGCUUGAGGCCGGUAGGGGGAAGCGGAAUUCCGGGUGUAGUGGUGGAAUGCGUAGAUAUCCGGAGGAACACCAGUGGCGAAGGCGGCUUCCUGGACCGGUCCUGACGCUCAGGAGCGAAAGCGUGGGUAGCGAUCCGGAUUAGAUACCCCCGUAGUCC